UUAUGAAAGAUGACUGCCGAAGACAGCAGGUGCCGAAAGGCAUAAGGAGAAAACGCCUGCCGAGGAGUAAAGAUUUCUGAUAAAAGAAAUGUACCUCUCUGUCUUCCAGAGAGGUUUUUUAUUUUG
rnacentral:sRNA from 1 species